UUGUCACUGUUGCCUCGCGUUAUUCCAUCAUCCAUAUUUCUGCUCUUAGUUGCUUUAUAAUGUGUCAGCAGUAAUCAGCCCUGCUGUAUUAUAUAUUGUGCUUGAUUGUUGAUACCUAAUUCAUUAACUGUUUACGAUGGCAGUUUAUAUGGUGGAUGAUGAUUAAUCACUCUACAAUCGCCUGUCACGUGACUUCUUCAACCCGUUCUGUAGAUGGCCCUAAACAACUAUUCGAAACCCGGAAACCAUAACCCUCUAAUCAGAUCCCAACCCUAACGGCCUAACCCUAACCAAACCCUUUACAAAAGCAUAUACUGAAACACUAUAGAGAAAUUAGGCUAACUUCCUUAUACGGUCAUAUCACGUGAUCGAGACAGUUUUUCGCCAAUAUCUCGUUAGGGGAGAAUUUUAACCUUAUGUCAUGGGGGUAAUAGCAAAUUUUAGUUAAAGAGUAAAUCAAAGUUAGCAAUCAUUGAACUCAAUAGUUAAAAAGGAGAAGCUAAAAGCGCUGAAAGACCAAAAAGCAUCUUCCGCAGGAGCUGUUGAAUCAGCACGCUGAAGAAGUACAGAGACUGGUGAACAAGCUGAUAAACUCAGACAGCAGCAAAAACUUCAAGAUCUAAAAUAGGCCCGGGCUUUUUUAAAAGUUACUGACAUGACGCUGGUCCUCACUUUUUGGAGUCUACUCCCUCAUUUCCAGGCUGAACAGGAAGCUGUACAACAACCGGUCUGACAAGUUACAAGUGGUGGACCUACAUCAUCUAGAUGUACAGGUACAAAUUCUACUAGUACGAUUCGAUGCAGUGGAAGAGGUUGAAGUUGACGUUUAAGCAGUCACCCUGCCGAACAAGAAAUCAGUCAGGCAAAGAGGCUAGGUUGACUAGAAACUCAAUCACUAUAUCCGUGAAACUUGCCGGAAGCUAUGUGUGGAGGUCGGACCGAAACUGUAAUCAGACACUAAACAUUAACGAGGACCAAUUAUUUUACUCCUUUAAUGAUGAAUAAAGAUCGCUGAUUGCUUUUACUAAUAUAUAGUGUUAAAAUGAAAGAGAAACUGUUGAGACGAAAGAGAAAAACGCACUCAUUUAUUUAUAGUUUUAUGUCUUAACAAUGUUAUUCGAAAGCUAAUUUUAAAAGCUGGCUCUGAAUCCUUGCUAAAUGAUUUGGGAAGGUGUAAGGACUAGAUAUGCCUUUAGACAUCAUUUUCAGUGGAUUUUAUGAAGUUUAUGAUUAGGGUAUAUUUUGUGACUGAAAUAAGCGCAAGACCUUCGACGUUUCUAUUCCUACUGUUUUUUUAAUUUAGCAAAUAUACAAAAAAAAAUUAUACUGUCGUAAAGAUAAAAUGUUUAGUUAUCGGAUAGAUACUUUAAAAUUAAGUAUUAAAAUAACCGAGCUAAGAUAUUCAAUGUUAAACUCAAAAAUGUUCACGCGUUUAUGAAGAAAUAUCUAAUUCUGCGCGUAGUUUUUUGGUCACAACUAUGGCAAAUUUUUACCAAUUUUGUUCAUAAUUUCAAAAUGUUAUUUAGUAGACAAAUUACUUUCGGACUAAA